CAGUUUGAUCUUAAUAUUCCACCUCCCAUGGGGGAAUGAUGAAGAAAACCUUGAUAAUAAUGAUGAUGCUAGGUGGGAUGCUUGGCCAAUUCAUUAGGUUCGGCCUCCUGAACAAGUGGUGAAUGCUAACAAUGCUGAGGAGCAAUUUAGCUUUCAGCUCUCUGGCCUUGAGGAUUUGCCUUCUUCAGAUGAGUCGGUGGGAUUCUUCAAUGAUAUCAUAAUCCCCAAGGGAUUCACUUCCCCCAUGUGGAAGCUCCUGAACCAGCUGAAGCAGUGCUGGCCAUUCCAGCUUUCCCCCUAGAUGACAUGCAAAUGGAAGGAAACCAUGACCAGGGGAUGUAAACAUGCAAAUUGAAGAAAAUAUCAAUGUGGGCCUUAUGCAGCACCUGGAGCACUCCACCUCUGACCCAGCAAAUGAGGAUUUCCUGGCUAGAAAGCGUUUCAACUCCU
rnacentral:lncRNA from 1 species